rnacentral:rRNA from 1 species
UACGUAGGCAGCAAGCGUUGUCCGGAAUCAUUGGGCGUAAAGAGCGUGUAGGCGGCUCGGUAAGUCCGCUCUGAAAGCCCGGGGCUCAACCCCGGGAGGCGGGCGGAUACUGUCGGGCUAGAGUCCGGAAGAGGCGAGUGGAAUUCCUGGUGUAGCGGUGAAAUGCGCAGAUAUCAGGAGGAACACCAAUAGCGAAGGCAGCUCGCUGGGACGGUACUGACGCUGAGACGCGAAAGCGUGGGGAGCAAACAGG